GGACUACAGGGGUAUCUAAUCCUGUUUGCUCCCCACGCUUUCGCACCUGAGCGUCAGUCUUUGUCCAGGGGGCCGCCUUCGCCACCGGUAUUCCUCCAGAUCUCUACGCAUUUCACCGCUACACCUGGAAUUCUACCCCCCUCUACAAGACUCUAGCCUGCCAGUUUCGAAUGCAGUUCCCAGGUUGAGCCCGGGGAUUUCACAUCCGACUUGACAGACCGCCUGCGUGCGCUUUACGCCCAGUAAUUCCGAUUAACGCUUGCACCCUCCGUAUUACCGCGGCUGCUGGCAC
rnacentral:rRNA from 2 species